CUGAUCUCAAAUGAUCCACCUGCCACAGCCUCCCAAAGUGCUGGAAUUACAGGCAUAAACCACCACGCCCAGCUGAAAACAAUAGAAUUAUGAAGCAGUUCUACAUCAUGUUCACAGCAGCAUUAUUCAUAGGAGCCAAAAAGUAGAAGCAAUCCAAGUGUUCGUUGAUGGAUGAAUGGAUAAACAAAAUGUGGUACACACAUGUAAUGGGACAUUAUUCAGCCUUGAACUGGAGGGCAAUUCUCAUAGGUUACUGUGAAGUGAAAGGUCACAUUUUCAGGUGUCAGGCAAUCUUUACUGCGAUUUGCUGACAUUAUUGAACACAGCACCACAUUUGGCAUAUUUGUACAUCACAAAAACCAGUACAUGUACAUACUUAACAUUUUAUCCUGUUGAUCUUCCUUAUUCAUGGUUUCAGUGUUUGCUAAUUUGCCUACUCACUAACAUUUAUUUGUGACUCCAAAAUCAAUACUUGUGGUGCUUCCACAGUCAUUUGCGGACAUGCAUAAAGUGUGAUUUUUCACAUGCGAAACAUUGGAGUUGCCCAAUGUGCACAUUCACAGCUAAGGUGGAACCUUCUGUGCUCUGUCUUCUUGUUUCAGCUCUCAUGCAAUAAACAAGCGCCCUUUCAGGACAUGCUUUUUGCAUUUUUGUACUUUUUGUUGAUGAUGUCACUGUUUACAGAGACCCCCUGUGCUGAAGUGCUGUCUGAUUUUCCUAAAAGCAAAAGGUUUUAUGAUAUAUAUUAUUGAAAAAAUAUGUGUAUUAGGCAGGCUUCCUUCAGGCAUGAGCUAUAGUGUUAAUGAAUCAAGUCUACUUACAUUCUGUUUAAAGAAUUUAUGUGUAUGUUUUAUUAAGAAUAUAACUUAUAUAACAUGUGAUAUGUGUCAUAUAUAUUCUGUUAAUGUAUAUGUAUACACACAUAUUCUUUAAAUGGAAGCACACAUAAAAUGAAAUUAUAUGUUGAUUAAUUGACAAAGAUUUUGUGACCAGAGGUUUGCAGGAACCUAAACCUAGUAUUUCCCAUAGGGACAGUGGUUCAAUAUCAGUUAAUCCGGAGUUGUAGUGACUUUAUUGAACAUAACUACUGCAAAUAAUGAGAAUCAAAUGCGUGUUAAACUAUUUUAAAAGAAAAAUAUUAUUAAUUUCUAUGCUUUUCAAGGAAAACCAAUAUUUCAGUUGAAAUCCAUCAGUUUGGAACCUAUCAAAAGAGAAUAGUAUAUCAAGUCAGAAUAGUAUACCCGAAAAUCUCUUCUGUAAAAAUACAUACUAGUUUCUGCUUUAAUUUUCAACACACUUAAAAAAGAAUUUCAAGAUAGAACACAGAAUUACUGAUUUAAUUUAAGAAGAUCAUUUUUCCCUCCUCACCAAGUACAUAUUUGGCUUUGAGAUAAUCUGUUCAGGUCACAGAAAAAUGUCUGUUAUCCCAGAAAGAUCUUAAAGCUUGAAAUGACAAAUAGAUAUGAUUGUGUGUGCUGACGUCAACGCUUUAUAUUACCUCUUAAUCUUCAGUGUUUUUUUUUGUUUGUUUGUUUUUUUGUUUUUUUGGGUUUUUUUUGCUGGCCAUGGUUUAUUUGUCCUUUUUCUUCAAACAGGACAACCGAAGAUACAGAGAGUAUUCAAUAAAAUAAAAUAGAUGGAACAAAUUCUAAGAGACUGCAAUGCCACAUACUACAUUUAACCUAAGAUUUGUUAUUCAUGCUUGCCUUGGGAUGGGGAAUAGAUCAUUUAUAAAAAUAUACAGUGAAAACAAAAUGUCUUAUCAUGUACAGCUUUAAACUACAAUAAUGAUGUACCUUAAUUACUUCCAUGCACACAAGUCUAACAUUCAUUUUCUUAAAAAAAUAAACAUAAUUAAGACUUCUAGGAGCAUUUUAUACUAAGGUAAUUUCUAACUAAUUUUUAUCUGCAGACAGAUCAAGCAUCUUCAAAAUACAAAUUCCUUUACACAGUGAGCAUGUUAUUUAAAAUGAACGCUUCAGUAAAUUAAGUAUGUGGAAAACCUUAGGAUAAGCUGACAUUAUAUAUUCAGCUAGGUAAGCAACAAACCAUAGUGCCAAAUGGAAAAAGUGUAUUUGCAAAUAAAUUUUAAAAACUAAUUUUUAUAAUUAGAUACAGAAAAUAUACCGAAUUGCUAAAACAAAUGUGAUGUAUUAACGCUUCACUAUAAAGAAUGUAUACCACAACAUUAUAAACAGUGAAUGACUCUUAUUAAGAAUAGUUUACUACAAUAAACACUGGCUAAAUAAAAGUACAUACUGUGAAGCACUGUGGGUGGUAUAUGUUUUGCCACAUACUUUUGUUACCUUGAGGUAGAUAACACAUGUGUACUAAAUUUGGCAUUCAUUUUCAGUUGCUGCUCGUAUCAUGUGUUUUAAGAAAUGUGUACAGUAUGAAAAAUUUGAAACUACUCAUGAAUGAAAAAUGUCUUAAAAAUAGAUAUUUUCAUGCAAUUAUGUACAGUCUCACUGUGUAAAUUUCAAGGCAAGAUUUCUUUCCUGUAAAACAGAUCAUUGUUCUAUGAGAGAAUGUUCUUUACUUGUCUUAGUGCAUUUCUUUUGUCUCCUCCUGCAUUGCAUUAUUUUGCUCUAUUCUUUAUUUUUAUGUGCAAAUGACAUGCCAGUUAAGACAAAAACUAUCUCACAUGUAGAAAAAGAAAGUCUGGAUUUUAAUAACCAAGAACUAAUAAAAUCCUUAAUGACACCAUCUGAUUCAAGUAAAAAAUGACUUAAACACUAGUAAUAAAAAAAGACGAAACACAUUUCAUGAAAAAUACAAAGAUAAAUGUCUGCCGAGUGUUUUGGUUCAGAUGUUUCAGAAUGCUGCUUUAUGUUUGUGAGGAAUCUAAGGGGAAGACUUCAUAGUAGGAGGUGUUAAGGUGGCCUGUAUGGACUUAAGUGGUGGCCCAGCUGGACUGUGAAACCGCGGAUGCCUGUGGGCUCGAGCUGCGUGUUAAAGAGGAAUUCCCCGCUGUUGUUCAGAAAUCCCUCCUCAAUUCCUCCCUCCCCACGCUUCCCAUCCUCUAUUGGCUCAGUUUCUAGCAUUCCAGUAUCUUCUUUCCUGCCAAAGAACUCUUCCAAGUAACUAGUGCAAGUGUUUUCCUUCUCAACGUAUUCAUCCUUCCUUACCUUACAAAACUGGUUUAUGAGAAAACAGUCCUCCCCACCACUCACAAACUGGCUGGUGCAAGGCUUCUAAUUGAGCCAGAUUUGCCAUUCCUUUUAACUGUUUUUCUUGGCUUACGGACUUUGAUAUCAAACGUUUCAAUUCUGGUUGGGACACUGAGCUAUUCAAGUCAUUUAAUUUAUCAGUAACAUCAGUAGGCUCAUGCUGGGAGCUAAGCUGAAUAGUUCCUGCAAUAAACGAAUCACAGUCAAAUCCCUGAUUCUUUUCCCUUUUCCAGCCAGUUGCUGGGAUGCUUCCUCUAGCGCUAUCUGGGCUUUAACCUAUCCAUUCCUUUCACAUUUUGAUUUGCCUUUCUUAUCAGAUUUUUCUUUGCUUUGUUCUUUCCAAUUGGAAAGAUCUAUAAUAAGCUUGGGUUCAUAAUAAUGGUUAACUUCACUCUCUCUCCAAACUAAGUUUGGAAGUCUUAGCCCAUGCCUAUGUAUAGUUGCCACCAUGUAGCCCGGACCCGUGAGAGAGGGCCAUGUUGCUUUAAUUUAAAAGGAACAACCCUGAGACUAGAGAAAUUCUUAGAGACAGAAGGAUGUGGUUUACUUUUAUCAGUACAUUUUAUUUCCUUUUCCCUAUCGUAAUGACCCCUGGCAUCACUACUCAGUGUUUAUGUAAUAGAUUCUCAACAUGGUCUUUAAAAAUAGGAGCUGUAUUUUGCUUCUUUGAGUUCAUACUGCUUAAUGUUUGAAUUAGAAGAAAAAACUUUUGUUAGGAGGUCACUUUCUGUAUUAAGUUUUUAUUUGAACAGUAAGUAAGCAGGCAUCUUGAAAUGCUGUAUGAUAUAACUGCUCUUAUCUUUGAGGCAAUAUAGUAUUGUGCUUAAGAUCAUGGACUUUGUUUUUUGAGAAAGGCCUGGUCUUAAAUCCCAGUUGUCCUAUUUAUCCUCUGAGUUCGGGUAAGUUACUUAAUCUCUGUAACCCAGCCUUAUCUCUAAAAUCUGGAUAAUAAAUAUACCUACUUCAUAGAGUUGUUGUGAUGAUUUUAAUGAAAUAAUUUGAGUAUUUAGAACAGUGGCUGGAACAUAAUUGGUUUUUAAAAGAGGUCAAUUAUUAUAUUGAUAUUAAAAGAAUAUAGAUGAUGUUCCACAUUAAUAAAGUCAGCAUCUAAAACAAACUUGAAUUGUGAUGAUCAAGAAAAAAAUAUUUACUUUGCAAAGAAAUACAGAUCUGCCUACUGUCAUAAGACAAUAGCUUCCCAUUAGCUGUUUUAGAUCAUUUCUAAAUUUACUAGACUGUGAAAUCUCAUUAUGAAAAUCUAGACAGGGUGGUGUAUAUGGAGUUUUGUUUAUAAUUAACACCUUAUAGAAUGUAAUGUUUUUAACCAGUGAGUUUUUAAACAAAAGAAAAAGGGAUUUUCAACUAAUAAAAGUCCCUUUCUCACCUUGGAGGUCACCUUCUCAGUGUGCCCUGCCCUGGUGAUGCUAUCCGUAUUGUAGACCCCACCCCCACCCUGGCAUGCCUCAACUUCCUUUCCUUCUUGACUUCUCCCCUUAGCACUGAUCACCAUCCAGUACACUAGAUAGUACCAUUUUCUCUAAAUCCAUCUUUUAAUAUUAGAAGGUAAACUCCAUGGAGGUAGGGAUAUUUGUCUCUUUUAUUCCCUGCCCUGUCUCCUGUGCCCAGAACACUGCCUGUUACAUAGUAAUUGCUUAAAUGAUGUUUGUUGAAUGAAAAAGGGAAUAGAUAUAGUUUUGAGAAAUUCUUUGAUAUAUUUUAGCUAUGUUAACGUUCAUCCUUCUUUUUGCUAUCUAUUUGGUAAGAAUAAUGAAAUUGUAGAGCAGCGUCCUGCUCAGUUUACCCUCAAGAUUUUAGAGCAGGGCAUGCAGUGUAUUAAUUCCUUUUCUUUUCUUUGCCAUUUAUUAAAAUAGUGUGUAUUUUGUGUGGGAGAUAGAAAAUUAGUGGAAUGCAGUCCUUUUUUAUAGUGGGAGAGACAGCUAUAUGUAGAUAUACGGAUGGUCCUUGACUUUUGAUGGUUUGACUUAAGAUUUUUUAACUUUAUAGUGGAAGAAGCAAUACGCAUUUAGUAGAAGUUAUACUUCAAAUGCCCAUAUAACCAUUCUGUUUUUCAGUUUCAGUACAGCACUCGAUAAAUUAUACGAGAUACCCAACACUGUUUUGUAAAAUAGGCUUCAUGUUAGAUGAUUUUGUCCACCUGUAGGCAAAAUGUGAGUGUUCUAAACACAUGUAAAGUAGGCUAAGCUAAGCCAUGAUAUUUGGCAGGUUAGGUGUAUUAAAUGCAUUUUCAGUUAUGAUAUUUUCAACUUUCUAUAGGUUUAUGAGGAUGUAAUGCCAUUGUAAGUUGAGGAACAUUUGUAUAUGGUAUACAGCCAUGCAUGCAAAUAUAUAUGCUAAUGAUACAUGCUGCCACCAAAGAAAACGUAGA